CCAUCGGUGGUUCAGUGGUAGAAUGCUCGCCUGCCACGCGAGCGUGCCACGCCGGGUUCGAUUCCCGGCCGAUGCA